UACGAAGGGGGCUAGCGUUGCUCGGAAUCACUGGGCGUAAAGCGCACGUAGGCGGAUUGUUAAGUCAGGGGUGAAAUCCUGGAGCUCAACUCCAGAACUGCCUUCGAUACUGAGAGUCUCGAGUCCGGGAGAGGUGAGUGGAACUGCGAGUGUAGAGGUGAAAUUCGUAGAUAUUCGCAAGAACACCAGUGGCGAAGGCGGCUCACUGGCCCGGAACUGACGCUGAGGUGCGAAAGCGUGGGGAGCAAACAGG
rnacentral:rRNA from 1 species